AUCAUGAUGGUUACAUCAUUAAAUUUGUCAAAAAUCGGCCUCGUUUUCGUUGUCGAGAUUUUGAUGCCGUUCGACAAUCUGGAUGCCGGUGAUGCUGGGAGUGAAGGUCCUUCUCCGAUCUGCUGCACAUCAACCGAUCUGGGCGUGACAUGUCUCUCCGUGAUCGGGAGAGUCCUGCCAACCGACUGCCAUUGGGAAAAAGGACAUCUAUUUUUCCACAAUUUUCACAAAACCAUGAUUCUACUGCUGUGUCGCUGAGUCGACAAGGUGCCGUCUCAUCCGCUGAAUCACGGACCAGACAUCGACGGCGGAGUUGUUGGUUCACGCCCACGGGAAAUAAUGUCACCAAUCAAACGCUGGGCUAUAGCUUUGAGACGCAGGACUUAUGUACCCUACGCUUUGCUACGAACCGAGGCGUAUCCUAUUUCCCCCCGCCAGACGGAGUCCUAUCAAAGUAUCCCAGCCAGACAGAAUCGUGUCCUAGCAGGACCGA
rnacentral:sRNA from 1 species